AUCAUAGAUCAAGUGGAACAUGGAGCGAAUCCUAUACCUGUCAUUCUGGCUGAAAACAUCAUUGGGUUAGACAUGUACAAAACCCAACAACAUUUUGGAGGCAGCCUCAUCCUCUUACAGGUAUACAACCAAAUAUCUUUCUUCUUUAUUAUUUUAGCCUUAACUUUUGCCUAAGCCAUCCUUUCAGAUUUUCAAAUUAGCAGGCUCUUGUCUUAA
rnacentral:lncRNA from 1 species